GACAAUCUUUUGUGUGAAAAUUUUCGCUUGAUUUGGGGUUAGGUUAUUUUCGUUAUGCAACAGAAACAUUCCCCUCUCCUGCCCUCUUGCUGAACGAGAAAAAAGGUAAUCGUCAACGAUCCUGUUCCUCACCUUCUCGCUAACUGCUGCUCCCGAAGACCAAAUUGGCGUCGAAUUAAAAUUUAAAUGCCACGUAUAUUCACGUCGUAUACACGACUGGUUUAUGGCUGAUUUGAAUAUUCGCUGAGGAUAGAGACGGAGAAUCUCUCUCGGUGCAGUUCUGUAAACUUCUCUGAAUCAACGAACGCGCAUCCAUUUGACUAAUUAGCAUACGUUUAGACUAAAAGCGACUGACAAUUCGAGUUUCAAAGACGUAGAAUGUUCGUCGCCAGCCUAUCGAAGAACCACAUUGGCUGACGAAAGGAUUCGUAUAUUUAUCGACGCUACUUUUAUGAACAUGUUACGUGUGUCAUACGAUGCAUUUUGAAAUUUCAGUAGCGCCGCAACGAUAGCCAACCAUUAUAACGACAUUGGUAAAACCUUAAACGAUUCUUGAAAUGUAUAGAAAAGUUGUAAGGUAUUUAGUAGAAAUAUACAUUUUUCAUUUGCCGAUUUUGAAUUUUCAAUAACUAAGAAACAAAUUAUUCCGGUUUCAAGAAUCAGCCCUUAAAUUUUCUGGCACCUGUAGUUGAACAUCCUGUAUAUUUAGCAAAGAUGACAGAGGCAUUUAAACAGGCAAGCGUAUUCGAUGAUAUCAUAUUUAAUAAUAUUAUGGCCAAGGUUACCAUUCAUAUUGUGUAUUAAUUUUUUCAUCGAAUAAAAGCAUGCAGUAGGUACCUCGUAACUUUGUAUAUAUUUUCAGAUAAGGUCCAAAUUUUGCCAAUAUAAUCUUGACAGUGGCAUGUCAUUAUAGUGCUAAUGAAAUUUCAAAACCUUUUAUAUAACACGCACGAAAAUUUACUUUAUUUGACAUAAAUACUUUUGCGAGCCACUGUACGUACGAGUGGCAAUAAAUUCUCUGGGCUAUAACAGACCCUGUCGAACUGGUUCCAGCGUUAUCUUGUCAUUUAGGUUUCUCAUUCCGGCCGAAAGUUGAGUCAACUUCCUCUCAAUUGCGCAAUCGUCUUUAUCGUUAAUAGGUCUGUCAAUACGUUUUUUCUCUUUUUAACAAAGUUCACGAUUAUAACGUUGACCAUAAACGGGUGAGACCUCUUCAUAAAGAGAACGUUCUGCCGCUUUGUUCGUGCGUACCAUUUUCCACGGACCAUUUACCUACAACUUUUCGAUGUCGCUCAAUUAACGCUGAUCCUCUUGUAGGAUUACAACUUCGACUCCUGAUCGACCGUAUUUCACAACUGAACAGUGUUUGGCUUUCAUGUUGAAGAGCGAUGCCCAGGGCCAUUGUCCUGCAGGUUACCAACUGUUAUUGCAGUAGUUUGCGUGGUAACAACUGUAAUUCAAACACAACACGCUCAUAGUCACGAAGAUGUUUUGUUAAGGUUCCAUAUGGGUUUCUGUUCUAUGCGUUUUCGGAAUUAUGCCAUUAGACGUGAUGUUAAAGUUCCUAGAGACCUCGUCGUUGACACCAACGCCGGAGAAACUACAACUUACGUUUUGUUGGGUUUAACAGAAAGUUUUUGUUCGAUUUUCCUAGAUGGAUACGAGUUUAACAUCAACCUUACCAGGCUCGAUCAAAUGGCCGGUUUUAAAAUUUAAUUUAAAAUUGAACACCCAUUGUUAUUUCUUUUGCUCAUCCAACUUUAUGUAAAUUCUUACAUUAACAAAAAUUUAGAAAUUUAUUAAUCAGAUAAUAAGGUUAAAACAAAUACAUCAUAAUCGCCGAGGGCUAAAUUAUUAUCUAUUAAGGUUUCUUUGGAAUGAGAAAAUGAUAGAAGCAGAGGACCUCGACUAGUCUAUACUUUUUAGUUGAUCUAUACAAGGUGUUCAGCUAUAGGUGUCAGGAAAUUUAAGGAGUGAUUCUUGAAGCCAAAAUGAGACGAAAAUCAGGAAUAAAAGAAUUGCGUUUAUGGCUAGUUAUUGACGAUUAAAAAAUCCGCCAAAAUACCCCUGCACGCGAGCAAACCUCCAUUCACAAAGAAAGGAAAGUCAGCCUAAGCAACGGGGCGCACAGUGAUACUCAAUCCGGUCAGCUUACCUCGUACAAGUCAUAGAGAAGACUAUGGUAUUCAGAGACGUAAGCUGCGAUAGUCCCGUCCGCACGUGUCCAUAACAGAAUCGUAACAGAAGCACAUAGACGACAUUUGUACAAGCAGAGAAUCGAGGCUAGACUUGGUGAACCAGGAACCGGAUAGAACAAUACGGCGGUCCACAAGCGGCUAACAAUAAAUCGAGAAGAAUUGCGAAGGAAAGCCUGCCGCUCGGAUAUCCGGGAUUUCGCUGUCCCGAAUAAGGGAAUUAAACUUUAUUGCCCGAUUUUUGCGUCUGUAUAAUCCGCUACUUUAUCUCACCGUUGUGUUUUAUUAAACGAUAAUUCCGUACGCGAUAUAUACGAUAUUCCGCGUGUUUAUAUUCACGUGUCAGCGGUCAUCCUGUCCGAGCACGAUGCAACGUUCGAACAGAAAAUUUGUUUGCCUUUCCUCUCUCUUUAAUCCUUUUUUUUUUGCUCGAAACUUUCAAAAUUGUUUCCAGAAGAAAAAUAGCAGUAAUAUAUUUGGUCGGAACAGAUCGCACCGGCUAAGUUAAAUCCUUCGCAAUUAGACGAGCGAAAAUGGUAAAAUCGAACCAGCCAGUUGAAAAACGAUAUAAAUACGAAAUUGGGCAUUUUUAAAAGUUGGAAGUAUAAAUGUGUGUGAUCGAGACAGUCCCUGCGGUUUAAUGAGAGUAAAAAUAGUAUAGAAAAUGCGAUUAAGUUGAUAAAGUACAUCUGAAGCGAAGCAUCGACAUUUUAUGAAGACUACUAAUUGUACUUGUCAAUAAGACGACUAAUUCUCUUAUACAUCACGCUGAAUUUACUUUGAUUAAAAAUUCUGUUGAGUCGAGGAACGGUGCAAGUCCAAUUAUUAAAUUCAUUUUAAUUAUAAAAGACUCAGGAACGAUGUUCAAGCACAGGUAGGCAGAUAUAUGGACGUUUAUCUCGCUUAGCAUGACCGUGUUUAAAUUGGAACAGCGCUAUAAAAUCAAUGACAUUGAUAAUACACAUACAGGCACAAAAAGAAAGAAACUAAAGCUAUUCUUUGAAAUAUCUCAAAAUGUAGUUUCCAGGGUGUAUUGUUCUUCGAUUCAUCGAUUCAAUUGUUUUCUGCAUUUCACAACUGCAGCUGCUACAAAAUUUACAGAGGCAGCUUUUUAAAUUGGAAUAUUUUGUAGCUAGAGGAAACCGGCUCGCGUUUUUCCAUGUUAUACCGACAAUUAAACGGCUCGAAACGAAUUGAAUUAAUUGAGACAGCUUGGAAAAAAGAAUGAUCGCCGUGCAUGGGAUGUGAAAAAAACCCGGACGCCGUAUCUUUCUGGUCGCGUAAAUAUUUAUACCCGGCGUUUGCAGUUGCAGUCACGUAACGACCGCGAUGCAAAAUGCAUAGGAAGUGCAGGUAUCAAAUGAGAAGAAACUUGCUAGAAUGGUGCACAACUCUCGUUCGCGUAAAAUGUUUGAUUCCGAAGAUGUUCAAAUCCUAUCGCGAAGAUUACACUUUGCUAAAAUGGGUAGGAAACGGAAAUCGAAAAAUUGGAACAUAAUCGAGGUUGCUUUGGUGGAAGGACUGGCUAUUUCUAAGACUACUCCGCACACGUUUCAUCUUCGCUUUUGAGAUCUUCCAUUUUUCUAUUCGUGUUAUUAUUCUUCGCGUUAAACAUGGAUUAGGAUAGUUCUUAAUUUAUUUAUUAUAGAAAUAUUUGUGCUUACAGAGUAUUGACAUUGAAUAAAAUUAUGGAACAAAGGAUCAAAAAAAUAAUUUUGUCGAUAAUGCAAAAGAGUGGAUUAACGACGAAAAAGGAAAUAUUGAUGGUUUAAAAUGUUGUAAAAAAAAUAUAUAUAUAUAAAAUACAAAGUUAUAUUGCAAUUAACGUCGAUGACUGAGCUCCCUGUUUUUCAAUAU